rnacentral:lncRNA from 10 species
CCAGCUCCUUCUUCAGUUUCUCGGGGGUCCUGUCCAUGAUGUGCCUCUCCUUGGAGAACUGCAACACAGAGUCAACCAUGAGCUCACCCUGCCCAGGCCACACCAGGCCAUGCCAGCUGGAGGUGACCGCCUGCUUCACUAAUCCAACCAGUUAUGCUACAGCCUGCAUUCAGGGAGAUGUGGCCACAGGACUCAGUUCUGACCAAGGAGCUGAGAUGUGAUGGCUGGAGACUCAACACCAUUCUGGACGCGUAUUGAGAAGAAAGAAGCAGAACAUCAUAACCCUGCUGCAGCCUUUUCAAAGGUAAUGAAUGAGCCAGUCCCACAGGAGAGGGAGCUC